rnacentral:lncRNA from 1 species
AGAUGCAAAGUACUUUCUGCACUUCUCACGCCUGAUUUUGGCUCAUCCAUGAAUGCCUUCAGGGGGCCGUGGAGCUAAGAACAGCUGCUUGGAAAGAAGCCACGGGCCUUGCAGCUCGGUGGAGUGAGGUGGGAGUCUGGGCAGCGGGACACGGGCGCAAGAAGUCAAAGCCAGAGGGUGUCUUGGAAGUCAUUAACUUCAGCAGCCUCUCAGGUGCCUGAAACUGUUCUCGGCUUGCACACUUCUGGUGAUGUGGAGCUCAUUACCCCAGAGAGGUAGUCUGUCCUAUUUUCAGACGGCUCUGACUAUCGGCAAGUUUUCUUUUGCGCUCCCGUCUCUUCUUUUUCUGUCAUUUCAUGCUUGGUUCCUUGCAUUGAGCUACAGCUCCUGCCCAUCUGUCCCAACACAGGAAGACGGGGGUCCCUCAGUCUUCACCAGCUCUGCCCCCAUGCAGCAGCCUCCUCAAAUUGCACUGGGCCAGGGGCAGCCUGCCUGCAUGGCGGGUACUUCUGUCUCUGUCGCUAUGGACAGAGAUGCUACGUCCAAGACCUGCAGGAUGUCUGGGCCUGGAGAACCUUGAGGGUCGUCUAGUCUGUCUCCCCGACUGUUCAGAUGAGGGGACCGAGGCCCAGAGGGGCUGUGUGGCUCAUUCAGAGUUGCACAGCUUGACAUCCAGAAAUCAGAAUCCAGGAUUCCUGACUCCCAGCUCAGUGUUCUCGCCUGGCCUGGCUAAACAGCAGGGUCCUGACCUGUGCUGUGGGGCUGGCAGUACUCUCUCUCAGGGCCGUGAAGAUGGGAUGAGGAGCUAUAUGCACAGGGCCUGGUGCGAGCAGGUACAAUUGGGGGCAGACCCCACUACCUUCUGCCAUGCCAGGAUACCCUCCUCCAGGUUCCUCUCCUGAAGGCCGGACGCCGCCCCCACUGCCCACAGGCCCCUCCCCAUGCACCAGUCCCUCCUGGGAUGCCAAAGAACCAAGGGGAGCUGGGAAAUGUUGCCUUCAGGUUGGGCCAUGGGGCACCCCAGCUGCAGCCCUCGGACUCCAGUGCCUCCCAUGUCAUCCAUACCAGGAAGCUCCGGAUGUCUGGAGGUCCCCUUCUCAGCUCCUGAAGGCUGCGUCCCCCGCCCCCACGCAGGACUGCAGGCCACCUGUCCUUGGAUCUCUCCCUCCCCACCCACUGAGCUGCUCCAGGACUUGUCAAAUCCCCCACCCAGGUCCCAUAAGCAGCAGCAGGGGAAGCUGGACCAAGCCCUGGAAGGUCUGGGGAUGUGGCUUAAAGUGGCCCCCUGCAAAUGCAAGGCCUCUGGAAGCCCUACAUUUAUCCUGGGAAAGGGCAUCCGGCUCCAGGUCCCCCAGCUGCCCUCUUCCUGUCUUUGGUGCUCCAGGAAGCCGGGCAUGUGUACGGCCUUGAGCCCAGCUGUGGGCUCCUGGAGCAGGGGCAUCCCAGUUGAGGGAGUCCUGCUUUCUCCCUGUGCCCAUUCCCUACGAGGUAGCCGGGGGUGGGCUCAUCCCCAGCAGCACCCUCUCGCUGGCACACGAGCUCCUUCAGCUCGAGGAGCUGGCUGCUCACACACCCACACUCACGCACAGCUAAGUCCCUGUGGCCUCGGCUUGUGGAGACGUCUGCCCCGUGGCCUGAACAUCCUUCCUCUCCCAGAUGCUCAAGGCCUGGCCUGGGGUGCUUCCUGGAAAUGCCACAGACUCCCUCUGCACUCACUGGUCACACAUUUCCCUCCUACUGGAUUUUUAAAUAAAUGUUUCCAACAGUUUGACCCUUAAAACCUGGAAAUCGGCUGGGCAUGGAAGCACAUGCCUAUAAUCCCAGCACUUUGGGAGGCCGAGGUUGGAGGAUCACUUGAGUCCAGGAGUCCGAGACCAGCCUGGGCAACAUAGUGAGACCCCCAUCUCUACAGAAAGUUUCAAAAAGCUGGGAGUGGUGGCCCGUGCCUGUAGUCCCACCUACUGUGGAGGCUGAGGUGAGAGGAUACCUUGAGCCAGGGAGGUGGAGGCUACAGUGAGCCAUGAUCCUACCACUGCACUUCAGCCUAGGUGACAUAGCAAGACCCUGUGUCAAAAAAAAAGUACCCCCACAUUGGUUUGUUAUGGGUUGAACUGUUUCCCCCAGAAAUACAGCUCCAAGUCCU